UAUUUGCAGGAUAUAUUACCCUUUUGAUUUAUGUUUAUCCGUUUUCCUAAAGCUUGACGAUUAUGUUAUGUUUAAAAAUGUUUCAGUCUUUUGUGUGAGCUGAAGUUGAAUGGUGUGUUUGUACUGUUUGAAAACAUGAAAAUCAGUCUUUUGUAUGAACUGAGGUUGGAUAAUGUGUUUGUAUUGUCAAACUUUUCAUUUAGUGAGAAUGAGAAUAGUAAUCUAAUAUGUUUAUAACUGCAUGCACAUAGCCUAAGGUCAGCUAAUUAAUACAGAAACCAACCAAUAAUAAGAAACCUUUACUGUGUAAACAUUUUGCACAUAUGUCUUGACCUUUAUGUAGCUUUGUUCCAUGCUUCAGAUAUUUCACAUUCAUAAUCGACAAAUACCUUAGUAUACAAUCAUCUAAUUCUUUUUCAAUUUUUUUCUCCAUUUACUUUAUUUGCUUCUAUUUUUAACUUCAAUUUCGUUACUGAUACCUUCAUGCCUAAAUCUGUGAUGAAAUUAUUUCUUCCAACCAGUAUGGUAAUCACAUAUAGUUCUUUAAUGCAUGUUUUGGGCGUUCCAACAAUUGAAAGAGAGCUAUAAAAUGAUUUCUUAUGACAUAAUCUUUAUGCACUAAUAAUCUCUUUGUAUUUUCAUCACUGAUUACAAAUUUAGGCUCUUUAUUUUUGUGUCACUAAUAUAUGAUUUAAAUGAUCGUUAGAUAAAAUUGUUUGUACUUGACAGCCUAAAGUUUAUUGGGAGUAGUUGCAGUCAAUUUUUUAGUUGUAUAUUAUUGGUAGGGGAUGUUCAGAAGAAGGUUUCUGUUAUAUUUACAUGUUGCUGCUGCUGUUUUAAUAUUGAACUUUGAUUGAUUUGGUAUGCAGGUUUCAACUGCUACUGUUACUUUUGCUGCAGCUCCUGUUGUUGGUGCAACUGAUUUAGUUGUUGUGAGAUUAGUCUGCAGACAAAUGAAACGACAGUUGUAACUAGGUUACCCCGUAAGUAGGACAAUGUAAUUUUGACAAGCUGUUUCAACAGCCAUUGUAAUCUAUAUUUGAAUAUUACCAGAACAUCUAUAUUAAUGUUUAUGUUUGUAAACCAAGAUCUAUGUUAGUUCCAAACUGAAUUCUCUA